rnacentral:lncRNA from 1 species
GUGCUCAUAGUAACACAACCAUAACUCACAAUCCUAAGAGGCACAAAGCUCUGGCAAACACCUGCCAAUACCUCUACAAGGCUGGCUUCAGAGGGCGAACUCUUCCAGGCCCCGAGGAGUGCCCAGCCAAGCUUUGGGGAAAGACCCAGGAAUGGUUGCAGUAGUCCGUUAUCGUCUUGGCGGCAGACAUGUCUACAGAACAGUCGCUGAGAGCCACAUCCAGAUCCACAGGCCAAGAGAAAGAGUGACUGGGCCAAUGAGGGCCUUUCAAAAUCUCACAGCCCACCCCUGGUAAUGAUACACUUCCUCCCACAAGGCCACGCCCACUCCAAGGCCACACCUCCUAAUCCUUUCAAACCAUUCCACUCCCCGAUGACUAAGCAUUCAAAUAUAUGAGCAUGUGGAGGCCAGCCAUCCUCACUCAAACCACC